rnacentral:rRNA from 1 species
GGUUCCUACGGGACGCAGCAGUGGGGGAUAUUGCACAAUGGGGGAAACCCUGAUGCAGCGACGCCGCGUGAGUGAAGAAGUAUUUCGGUACGUAAAGCUCUAUCAGUAGGGAAGAAAAAAAGUCUUUGGCUUUGGACGGUACCUGACUAAGAAGCCCCGGCUAACUACGUGCCAGCAGCCGCGGUAAUACGUAGGGGGCAAGCGUUAUCCGGAUUUACUGGGUGUAAAGGGAGCGUAGACGGCAGCGCAAGUCUGGAGUGAAAUGCCGGGGCUCAACCCCGGCACUGCUUUGGAAACUGUUGAAC